rnacentral:rRNA from 1 species
ACGCUCGACACCUACGGGAGGCAGCAGUGAGGAAUAUUGGUCAAUGGACGCAAGUCUGAACCAGCCAUGCCGCGUGCAGGAUGACGGCUCUAUGAGUUGUAAACUGCUUUUGUACGAGGGUAAACGCAGAUACGUGUAUCUGUCUGAAAGUAUCGUACGAAUAAGGAUCGGCUAACUCCGUGCUAGCAGCCGCGGUAAUCUGAGCGGCUGGCAAGGC